rnacentral:rRNA from 1 species
CCUACGGGUGGCAGCAGUGGGGAAUAUUGGACAAUGGGGGGAACCCUGAUCCAGCGACGCCGCGUGAGUGAAGAAGUAUUUCGGUAUGUAAAGCUCUAUCAGCAGGGAAGAAAGAAAUGACGGUACCUGACUAAGAAGCCCAGGCUAACUACGUGCCAGCAGCCGCGGGAAUACGUAGGGGGCAAGCGUUAUCCGGAUUUACUGGGUGUACAGGGAGCGUAGACGGCGAUGCAAGUCUGAAGUGAAAGGCGGGGGCCCAACCCCUGGACUGCUUUGGAAACUGUAUGGCUGGAGUGCAGGAGAAGUAAGUGGAAUUCGUGGUGUAGCGGUGAAAUGCGUAGAUAUUAGGAAGAACACCGAUGGCGAAGGCAGCUUACUGGACUGUAACUGACGUUGAGGCUCGAAAGCGUGGGGAGCGAACAGGAUUAGAUACCCGGGUAGUC